ACUCUUUAGCUUGCUAAAGAUAGUAAAGUGGCGCACGGGUGAGUAACACGUGGGUAAUCUACCUCCGAAUCGGGAAUAACAUUGCGAAAGCGAUGCUAAUACCGGAUAAUAUCUUAUAAAUUUCGGUUUUUAAGAUCAAAGGUGGUCUCUACAUGUAAGCUACUGUUUGGAGAUGAGCCCGCGUACCAUUAGCUUGUUGGUAGGGUAAUGGCCCACCAAGGCUACGAUGGUUAGCUGGUCUGAGAGGAUGAUCAGCCACACUGGAACUGACACACGGUCCAGACUCCUACGGGAGGCAGCAGUGAGGAAUUUUGCGCAAUGGGGGAAACCCUGACGCAGCAACGCCGCGUGAGUGAUGAAGGCCUUCGGGUCGUAAAGCUCUGUCAAGUGGGAAGAAUAUGCUCGAUGUUAAUACCAUCGUGCACUGACGGUACCACUGAAGGAAGCACCGGCUAACUCCGUGCCAGCAGCCGCGGUAAUACGGGGGGUGCAAGCGUUAUUCGGAAUUAUUGGGCGUAAAGGGCGCGUAGGCGGCCUCUUAAGUCAGAUGUGAAAGCCCGGGGCUUAACCCCGGAAGUGCAUUUGAAACUAAGGGGCUUGAGUAUGGGAGAGGGAAGUGGAAUUCCUGGUGUAGCGGUGAAAUGCGUAGAUAUCAGGAGGAACACCGGUGGCGAAGGCGACUUCCUGGACCAAUACUGACGCUAAGGCGCGAAGGCGUGGGGAGCAAACAGGAUUAGAUACCCUGGUAGUCCACGCAGUAAACGGUGAACACUACGUGUAGCGGGUAUUGACCCCUGCUGUGCCGAAGCUAACGCAUUAAGUGUUCCGCCUGGGGAGUAC
rnacentral:rRNA from 1 species